UGACGGUACCUAACCAGAAAGCCACGGCUAACUACGUGCCAGCAGCCGCGGUAAUACGUAGGUGGCAAGCGUUGUCCGGAAUUAUUGGGCGUAAAGGGCUCGCAGGCGGUUUCUUAAGUCUGAUGUGAAAGCCCCCGGCUCAACCGGGGAGGGUCAUUGGAAACUGGGAAACUUGAGUGCAGAAGAGGAGAGUGGAAUUCCACGUGUAGCGGUGAAAUGCGUAGAGAUGUGGAGGAACACCAGUGGCGAAGGCGACUCUCUGGUCUGUAACUGACGCUGAGGAGCGAAAGCGUGGGGAGCGAACAGGAUUAGAUACCCUGGUAGUCCACGCCGUAAACGAUGAGUGCUAAGUGUUAGGGGGUUUCCGCCCCUUAGUGCUGCAGCUAACGCAUUAAGCACUCCGCCUGGGGAGUACGGUCGCAAGACUGAAACUCAAAGGAAUUGACGGGGGCCCGCACAAGCGGUGGAGCAUGUGGUUUAAUUCGAAGCAACGCGAAGAACCUUACCAGGUCUUGACAUCCUCUGACAACCCUAGAGAUAGGGCUUUCCCUUCGGGGACAGAGUGACAGGUGGUGCAUGGUUGUCGUCAGCUCGUGUCGUGAGAUGUUGGGUUAAGUCCCGCAACGAGCGCAACCCUUGAUCUUAGUUGCCAGCAUUUAGUUGGGCACUCUAAGGUGACUGCCGGUGACAAACCGGAGGAAGGUGGGGAUGACGUCAAAUCAUCAUGCCCCUUAUGACCUGGGCUACACACGUGCUACAAUGGACAGAACAAAGGGCUGCGAGACCGCAAGGUUUAGCCAAUCCCACAAAUCUGUUCUCAGUUCGGAUCGCAGUCUGCAACUCGACUGCGUGAAGCUGGAAUCGCUAGUAAUCGCGG
rnacentral:rRNA from 1 species